rnacentral:rRNA from 1 species
GAAUCCCGUCUUUGACAUGGACUACCUGUACGUUAUGGUGCACUCUCGAAGAGUCGAGUUGUUUGGGAAUGCAGCUCAAAAUGGGUGGUAAAUGCCAUCUAAAGCUAAAUAUUGGCGAGAGACCGAUAGCGAACAAGUACCGUGAGGGAAAGAUGAAAAGAACUUUGGAAAGAGAGUUAAACAGUACGUGAAAUUGCUGAAAGGGAAACGCUUGAAGUCAGUCGCGUUGGCUAGAAAUCAGCCUUGCUCUUGCUUGGUGUACUUUCUGGUCGACGGGUCAGCAUCAAUUUUGACCACUGGACAAAGUCUUUGGGAAUGUGGCAUCUUAGGAUGUGUUAUAGCCCAUUGUCGCAUACGGUGGUUGGGAUUGAGGAACUCAGCACGGCUGCAAGGCCCGGGUUUCGACCACGUUCUCGUGCUUAGGAUGCUGGCAUAAUGGCUUUAAUCGACCCGUCUUGAAACACGGACCAAGGAGUCUAACAUGCCUGCGAGUGUUUGGGUGGAAAACCCAUGCGCGUAAUGAAAGUGAAAGUUGAGAUCCCCUUCAAACAGGGAGCAUUGACGCCUGGACCAGACCUUUUGUGACGGAUCCACGGUAGAGCAUGCAUGUUGGGACCCGAAAGAUGGUGAACUAUGCCUGAAUAGGGUGAAGCCAGAGGAAACUCUGGUGGAGGCUCGUAGCGAUUCUGACGUGCAAAUCGAUCGUCAAAUUUGGGUAUAGGGGCGAAAGACUAAUCGAACCAUCUAGUAGCUGGUUCCUGCC